CGCGAGGCCAAAGGCAGCUGUGUUGGGAGUGGCCUGGAAGAUGCCCUCACAUGGAAGAAGAAGGAGAGUUGGGCUGGCUGAGGGCCCCUUUUUCUGGGGCUGGCUGCCCCGGGCCACUUGGCUUGCCAGGGGAAAAGGCUGCCCCUCGGCCACAGGAACUGCCCUCCACCUCCCAUCCUGUGCCCUGGGUUUAUUUUUAACACUGUUUUUUAGGUAAUUUCAUUCUAUUCUUUAUCGAAAAGAACAGAAGCAAGGUGCAUCUUCAGCCCUAAUUCCCAUGUGUGCUUUGUGCUCUGAGUGAAGAAUUUCUUCCUCACAUCACAUCUAAUCUAAAUCUCCCCUCCAUUUGUUCAAAGUCAUUAUUCCUUAUUCCAUCGGAACGUUACGUGAUAGAGUCCCUCUCCAGCUUUCUUGUAAGCUAUUUGUAUGGGUUAGGUUAGGUGGCAAAACUGCAGGACCUUACAAAUUGCAGCCUUAUCUACCUCGUUACAGUGUUUCUAGCUUAGUCAACCUGGAAAUGUUUUGGUUGAUCAGCUUUCUUGGAUGCCUUAGUCAAUGCACUGUCCAGCUCACCGCAUAUGCAGCUGUGCAGUAAUGGAUUUGUGGUGAAGCUCCUGCAAGAGUUAAAAAAGAAAGAUGUGUAUUCAGCUUGUGAUCAUUUCUCAUCUGCCUCCACCUGUCUCAGGAGCUCCUGCAAAAGCUCCCACCAGCCCAGUGACAUCUUACCAAAAAUUCCUAUCAAACAAUCAAAAGACAGCUACCUACAGGCAUGCCAGAAAACUGUAGAAAGAAGGAAACAGAGGUGUUUGGAGGAUGCGUGUGUUGACUAGAGCCAGUGUUUAAAAUACAGAACAGUUACAAUCAUGCCAUCACUGUUUGACAAUGCACAUUUCCUCACAGAGCUAAAACUAACAAUAACGUCUAUCUUUUCUGCAGUAUUUCUCAUCAGAAGAUCUUGAAGUACCAUUGAUAGCAGAUAUUACAGCUCAGCCACAGGCAUCGUGACUACACAUCUCUGACCAUCUAUACCAUGCUAGCCUGGGAGAAAUGCUGAGACAUGCACUCUCCUGCAGUUGCUACUCAGUUCCCUGGCAAAUCACACUCCAAGACACCCAAAGGAACAAAAACAUGCCAUGAAGGAAAGUGUGUCAAAAUUUCAUCAGGCCCACAUCAGUGCAGAUUUUCUUGCACUGCAGGCACUCCCAGCACUGAAGAGCUCCCUUACUCAGGGACACACUCAGUGGUAACUUUAGACCAUUUCUGAGGACACGGUAUUAUCUCAUCCUAGUAAGGAGAGGCAGCUGCAAUGUGUUGAUAAUCAGAUAAUCAGGUCUGUGUAGCCCAAAAUGUUUGAUAUGACUACUGUAUACCACAGGAAAAAGUGAGCAUCUGAACUUGGAAGAGAUUAGUAGAAUUUUUGGUAUGAGUAAAGCCCAUAGGAUUAGGGCUGAAAAGAGGAGUACUGUUUUCUUAGUUUUUAUUUUGUCUUCUGAGCAGCUGGAUAGCCAGCUCUGGUGCUUUUCCAUCUAAUGAACAUGGGCAAUUUUUAAUGAACUCAGAGGUGGGCAAGGCCCAAACUCCCUGCCCAAAAAACUGUAUAGCAGAGAUAGAAGGAGCCCUUAUAUUUGUUUAUUGCAGCUUUUCAGACACAUGUUUAUGCUGAAAGAACAUAUUUCUUUCCUGCUUUUAAGGCACAGGCUAGAUCAUAGCAGGUCUUUCUCUUCUUUCUUUGAGUGGCCACAGCCAGGAAAGAGCUUCUAGGCAUAUCUAACCUCAAAAGAUUCCAAAACUGUAACUUUACUGUGGUAAACCAAGGCAUGGACUGCAGCACUGAAACAUGACUAUCCUGACUAUCCAUAUUGCUUAAUUGCUCACAUGGUCCCUGCAAACUGGCCUUCGCUGGUUCUCCAGACAGGCAGGAAUUGUUCAGGUAGUUGCAUGUGGCAGGACUAUUCCCAGUGGGCUGUGUGAUGAAGUCUUUUUGAGUAUCUUAGGAGAGGAGAUAGUUUAGGCUCUGUAGAUGGGAGUUGGGACAGGCCACUUGCCCUAUGAGCCAGAGAACAGGACCGUUCUAUUUGCAGCAACAAACAUAUCCUGAAAUGACCAUAAUAAACAAGUCAUUGCAAGUGAGUAUCA
ensembl:lncRNA